rnacentral:lncRNA from 1 species
AAGUUUUUAUUUCCAGAAAGAUCCCCACGCUGAGGGAUGAACCUCGCCAAAUGAUCUUAUGGAUCACCCAUCCCAUCUUUUAGGUUCCAUUUGGGCAAUAUGUAUCCCGCUGGGUAUGGCUCGUAGUAAACCUCUGUAAGAUAAGGAGGAUCAUAGGGUAGGUAACCUUUUCACCAUUCUAAAAGAAUGGUACCUUCCAGUAAGCAGGUCUCUUCAGGCACUCCCAAAAGAAAAGAGAGAAUUCAAUUCAUUUUAGCCUCUGAGCGAGGAUACUCCAACAAGAAGAGCCUAACCAGGCCCUAGAGAUAACAGCCCAUACCCCUACAGAGCCAAAAUGAAAGGCCUUCAUCAUAGGCUAGCAUAGCAGACAAUAACGCGAAAUCCAGGAAGGGGAGGGGGAAUGAAUGCAAAAUCUGAAGCAAACCGAAAAGCGAGUUCCCGUGGAGUGAGUCUAGUGCUUCCCUUUAACCUAGAAGCACUCAGUGAGCCUUCAACAAUGUCCUUCCUGGCCUGUUGUUUGAGUUGACCGAAGGCGGCGGGUGGAGAGAACCAAAG